rnacentral:lncRNA from 1 species
CGGGAGCCCGCGGGCUCGCAAACAGCGGAUCCGCUGCGCGCUGACGAGGCCCGGGAGAGGCUGGGGCUGCGCGGGCUCCGCGCGCGCCUCGGGGGAGCGGCCGCCGGGACCCAGGACGGCCGAGGCAGCAGCGCUGCCGGCCGGGACGCGAUGGGGCGCCCGAGUCCGCGGAAUGAGCUGGGCAGCUGGCCAAGGAAGGCGCAGAUCAAAGCUGGCUGGUGAGGGACCUCUCCUGACUUUGUGAGUGCCACAUCUUGAGCUGUCUAGACUUCAGUGUACGUGGGACACUGUGUUCCUGCCAACUUCUCCCAGCCAAAUGCAAUACCCUCUGGGCUCUUA